rnacentral:rRNA from 1 species
AGCGAACGCUGGCGGCAGGCCUAACACAUGCAAGUCGAGCGCCCUGCAAGGGGAGCGGCAGACGGGAGAGUAACACGUGGGAACGUACCCUUUGGUUCGGAACAACCCAGGGAAACUUGGGCUAAUACCGGAUAAGCCCUUACGGGGAAAGAUUCAUCGCCGAAGGAUCGGCCCGCGUCUGAUUAGCUAGUUGGUGGGGUAACGGUCCACCAAGGCGACGAUCAGUAGCUGGUCUGAGAGGAUGAUCAGCCUCACUGGGACUGAGACACGGCCCGGACUCCUACGGGAGGCAGCAGUGGGGAAUAUUGGACAAUGGGCGAAAGCCUGAUCCAGCAAUGCCGCGUGAGUGAUGAAGGCCUUAGGGUUGUAAAGCUCUUUUACCCGGGAUGAUAAUGACAGUACCGGGAGAAUAAGCCCCGGCUAACUCCGUGCCAGCCGCCGCAGUAAUAC